CGGCUGUCUAGUACAUUCUUAAUCCAUCCCAUUGCAGAGCUUUCUCACCCCCACAAGAAGCCCCUAGCCACCAGCAACCAUUUCAUACGCCCGACCCAACCCGUCUCAACUCCAGCAAUCCCAAGCUGCUCUCUGAACCAAGGAUUUUGCGUCUUGUGGAGAGUUCACAUGCUACCCUGGAAAAGUAAGAUACCAUGUUGAAGAGGCCCACAGGGCAAGGACUUGAAGACACCUCCAGCUAACAGCCAGCAAAGAGCUGAAGGCCUCAGUCCAACAGCUCUCAAGGAACUGACUUCUAUCAACAAUCAUGAGAGUUUAGAGAUGGACACUUCCCUAGAGUCAGCUUUACCUGUGCCAGUAUCUUGAUCAUAUCCUUGGCACUAAAGGGAGUGCAACAUCCCACACACAGCUCCGUUCCAGCUCCACUGACAGAGGAACUAAGUUGGAGAGUGACAGGGAGGUGACAGGGUCCCCUGCAACCCAUAAAACCUCACAGCGGCACUACAAGGUGUGCAGGCCAUCUAGGCUCAUCCAUGUGGUCUCCUGCCUGGGAUCGCUCAGCAUCCGGCCAAAUUUCUCCCAAGGACAAGGCCUCACACUUGGGAUCACUGCCCAGAGUCCAAAGUUGAACCACCACAGAGUUGAAACCCACGCUGUAUACUUUAUCCACUGCCAUCUAAGCCACUCUGGCUCAGUGCCAUCUUAAAGCCAGACCCACUGAUACAAUGUGUCCUGCUCUGGGGGCUGGUACCCAGAGUGGAGACUCCACAGGCGUUCUGCUAUGUUGUAUAGAUGACCAGAGUACCGCAAUGCUGGCUGCUCAGAGCUCCAGUGUGGCAGGAAGAAGACCUGAGGCUCUGCCAGUAUGGCUUCCUAACCUUCAGCAGACGUGACCGAGGGGAAGCUGAUACUAACAUGGCUGACAUGCCCAUGUGUCUCUGUGGCCAGGCCUACAAGACAGAAGUCACUGCCUCCCACCAUCACACACCUGACUGGACCACAACACCCACCACACUCGAGGUCUAACAGCCUGCAAAGUGGGCCAUCUUCCUUCCUCUUUGGAGAACUCACUGAAUAGCCAUCCUUGCUGCUCACCUUUACCUAGUCCAACAGUCAGCUAGGUACCAGCUCAGCACCCUGGGUGAGCCUGCUGUGCAGCCAUGCAGUCCCCAGAGCCCAGGCACAUCCAAGGCCAGACCAACAGUAAAUCAGAUAACAGCCCCACCCACCACGCAGCCUGCUGUACAGCCAGUAUCUGUGGGUACCCACAGCACCUGUGUGAACCAUCUGCCAAACACACAGUGGCCCAAAGCCCAGCAAAGCCGUGCCAUAUCACCACAAUUAUAAACAUAGUCAGCCCAGGCCAGAGGCACAACAGAGUCCACUCAGAGCCAAAGCUAAGGCCCACCACGUUCUGUGUGGGCCAGAGAACAAUCUGACAGCCGCGCUUUCUGUUUUGACACGGAGCCAAGGUGAAAGAGUAAAGAACCAGAGUGUUCACAUGCCCUUAAUCACUUAACAGAGUAAUGGCACACGCCCUUAAUCCCAGCAUUUGGGGGCAGAGAAGACUGGAUCUCUAGGUUCAAGGUCAGACUGGUCUACACAGAGAAUUGCAGGCAAGCCAGGGCUACAUAGUGAGACCCUGUCACAAGAAAAGAAAUUAAAUUUAAUUAAAAAUAAGUAAGUAAACAGAGUGAAAGAAAGAAAAGCAUCAUUAAAUCUGGUGUUCAAAACAUGCAGCAGAAACCAACAGGGGAAGACAGCCAGCUGGGGUUCCCAGGAGAGUCCGGGGCAGAGCAGACUCCCACCGGAAAGGGCUCCCAGGCAGAAGCACAGAUAACUGUGGGACACAGGUGGCGGUGCACGCCUCUAAUCCCAGCGCUCAGCAGGCCGACACAGGAGGACCUCUGAGUUGAG
rnacentral:lncRNA from 1 species